UACAGAGGUCUCAAGCGUUGUUCGGAUUCAUUGGGCGUAAAGGGUGCGUAGGUGGCGGGGCAAGUCUGGUGUGAAAUCCCGGAGCUCAACUUCGGAACUGCCUUUGAUACAGCACAUCUGGAGUCCGGAAGAGGUGGGUGGAAUUCCUAGUGUAGAGGUGAAAUUCGUAGAUAUUAGGAAGAACACCGGUGGCGAAGGCGGCCCACUGGUCCGGUACUGACGCUGAGGUGCGAAAGCGUGGGGAGCAAACAGG
rnacentral:rRNA from 1 species